GAUGAAGAACGCAGCGAAAUGCGAUACGUAAUGUGAAUUGCAGAAUUCAGUGAAUCAUCGAAUCUUUGAACGAAUAUUGCGCUCUCUGGUAUUCCGGAGAGCAUGCUUGUUUGAGUAUCAGUAAACACCUCAACUCCCCUUUCUUUUUUUGAAAUGGGAGCUGGACUUGAGUGAUCCCAACGCUUUUCUCACCGAAAAGUGGCGGGUUACUUGAAAUGCAGGUGCAGCUGGACUUUUCUCUGAGCUAAAAGCAUAUCUAUUUAGUCUGCCUAAAAAACAGAUUAUUACCUUUGCUGCAGCUAACAUAAAGGAGAUUAGUUCUUGUGCUGACUGAUGCAGGAUUCACAAAGACCGCUUCGGCUGUCUUUGUAAACUCGAUCUCAAAUCAAGUAAGACUACCCGCUGAACUUAAGCAUAUCAAUAAGCGGAGGA
rnacentral:misc_RNA from 1 species